rnacentral:rRNA from 1 species
GUGGGGAAUAUUCCGCAAUGGACGAAAGUCUGACGGAGCGACGCCGCGUGAGUGAUGAAGGCCUUCGGGUCGUAAAGCUCUGUCAUCGGGGACGAAUGGUCGUUGGAGUGGAAAGCCAGCGAAAUGACGGUACCCGAGAAGGAAGCCACGGCUAACUACGUGCCAGCAGCCGCGGUAAUACGUAGGUGGCAAGCGUUGUCCGGAAUUAUUGGGCGUAAAGCGCGCGCAGGUGGGAUCUUAAGUCCAUUUUGAAAGUUCGGAGCUCAACUCCGUGAUGGGAUGGAAACUGGGAUUCUUGAGUACCGGAGAGGAAAGCGGAAUUCCCCGUGUAGCGGUGAAAUGCGUAGAUAUGGGGAGGAACACCAGUGGCGAAGGCGGCCACCUGGACAGGUACUGACGCUGAGGCGCGAAAGCGUGGGGAGCAAACAGGAUUAGAAACCCCUGUAGUCC